rnacentral:rRNA from 1 species
AGCAGUAGCCGGCGGUAAUACAGAGGGUGCGAGCGUUAAUCGGAUUUACUGGGCGUAAAGCGUGCGUAGGCGGCUUCUUAAGUCGGAUGUGAAAUCCCUGAGCUUAACUUAGGAAUUGCAUUCGAUACUGGGAAGCUAGAGUAUGGGAGAGGAUGGUAGAAUUCCAGGUGUAGCGGUGAAAUGCGUAGAGAUCUGGAGGAAUACCGAUGGCGAAGGCAGCCAUCUGGCCUAAUACUGACGCUGAGGUACGAAAGCAUGGGGAGCAAACAGGAUUAGAUACCCGCGUAGUCCCUGUCUCUUAAC